AUGCUUACGCAAACAUUCACGUGUGCACCAAGGCCUUCACGCUCGUGCACGCUUACACUCGAGCUCACAGUCCCACAGGGACACACACACACUCGUACCCACAGGCACACGAGCUCACCCUCAACCUCACAACCUACGAGGAGGUACUGUUUCACUCUCAUUUCACAGAUGACAAAACUGAGGCCAGAGAGGUUAAGUCUCUUUCCAAAGGUCACACCGCUGCGAGUGACGGUGCUGGGAUCCCGACCCAGGCCGCCAGUCCGCCCGCCUAGCCACCCAGCCACCCCUGCAUCCGUCCAUCUUCUCAUCCAUCAGCCUCCAGCGUGUCUGCCCAUCCAGUCAUCCGUCCUUACACUUCUCCGUCCAGAGGACAGGUGUGCUGAGCCCCGGACUUGGCUGCCUUCACGCCCAGGACUCUCCGCCCCUGCCCUCACCCAGGCCUCACCCAGGCGCGUCCGUGCCAGGCCGCCUCGUGUGAGCACCAGAGACCCGGUCGGGCCGCUGUCGGGGGAGGAGGACAGGGUCCUAGAGCCGUGGGAUGACAGAGCUGGAGGGAGGUGCCCUGUUCAGCUGCCACCUUCUAGCUUCGAAUAAAGACCAAGGUGAAGCCAAGCAUGGUGUGGAAUUCCUGCUUUUGUGGAGAGAAAACAAGGUUUCUACUUCCUGGACGGUCCCUCCCAGGGCCACCAGUCCCCUCCCAUCAAGGUGGCCCCCGCCCUGCCCUGAGACAGCCGCUGAUAUUGAAAGGCCCCCUCCACGCCCCCCCCACCAUCACCGCUGGCCAUCGUUACACGUGGUGUGUAGUUUCCACCUCUGUGUUCAGAGCUGGUGGGGGGCAGUCAGCAGAGGGGCGCCCAGGCCAGCCCUGAACCCUAUGCUGGGCAGGACACAGUCCAGGCGCUGGCGAGGCCAGGCCCACUGUGGCUGCCCAGGACCCUGACCCUGACCCUGGCUCCGCUCCCUCUCCUGCCAGCUGCCAGGGACUUCCCAUCGCAGCAGGAAAGUCCCGAGUCCCUAGCCUCCCGUUCGGAGCCCCCCGCA
rnacentral:lncRNA from 1 species